rfam:Bartonella apis strain PEB0149 NODE_1_len_1448678_cov_97_6187_ID_1.8, whole genome shotgun sequence.
GCGGGUGUAGCUCAGGGGUAGAGCACAACCUUGCCAAGGUUGGGGUCGUGGGUUCGAAUCCCAUCGCCCGCU